AGUAGACCAAGAUCAUGAGUGUUCUAAAACAGUUCCCUAGAAAGACUUGGCCCUAAUCUGAGCUUAUUUUGUAGAAGAAGUAUGUCAUGCGCAAGGUAGGAUGGCUGUCUCAGUGCAAAUUCACUCACAGUCCUCACUUGAGAAAAAUCCAGAGAGAAAUGCCUUAAGUCAGUAGUUCCAUAGUCUUAUUUUGAGAAACCUUUUAUUACUUAUAACACUGCAACUUUUAAAAAUCUUUUUUCUUAAUUUUUAUAAUUUUAAUGUUUAUUAGCAGAAAUAAAAUUUAUUUUUUAAAUUUGGCUCUGGUAACUCCACGUCCUAAGCAAGGAGUUUCCAUGGAGAGUGGUGUGUGCGUGUGUGUUUAGUUUAAUCAUUUGUUUUGAAAUAAUUCCAAGUCUGUAGAAAAGUUGCCAAAAUGGUGCAAAGAACUCUCAUGUCCUCUUCUCCCAGAUUCUCAAAUAGUUAACAUUUUCUUGCUUCAUUGCUUACUCUGUGUGUGUGUGUGUGUGUGCGCCCGCAUGCAAGUGCAUAUAUCGCUUGUUAUUAGUCUUUUUCUGGGCCUUAUGAAGGUUGAGAGUGAUGGGGUUCAGGGCAGGCCACCCCAAGAUGUGCCACUCUGGUGAUGUGCCACAAUAAAGGCUCAAAAGACUCAGGAAGAGCAUCCAACCUUCCCCCCCAAAACUGCCUACAGGACUUUAACAUAGAAGGCCUGUUCCAGGAAGGAGCUCAUAUCAUGUGAUAGCUAUAGUAUGAUGGAAAAUAGGUGUGAAAAAAGGACACCAAUAAACCCAGUUUUUGGGCCCAGCAAAACCUGUUUAACAAACAUUUGCAUUUCAUCUCUCUGUAAAUUGUCUUCCUCCCCUUUGAAGUCCCAGACCACUAACCCCAAUGUCCUCCUUGUCUGUAACUGAGGUUACUUAAACAGGUGGACUCAGCCAGAUGGCUGAGUUACUCAGUUUCUUCUGGGUUUCUCCCAUGUGUACAUGCUAUUAAAUUCUGUUUGAUUUUCUCUUGCUAACCUGCCUCUUUGAUUAUUUAACCAGCCAUAAGAACCGUAAGGAAAAGCAGGGAGGAAUUCUCCCACUUCCCCGACAAGAGCAAACUGUGGAUAUGAUGUCCCAUCACUCCCAAGCACUCCAGUGUGUAUUUUCCCCCAAACAGGGACACUCUCCUACCUAAUGGCAGACAACCUUCCACAUCAGGAAACAAUAUUGGUGCAACACUACCAUCCAAUCCACUGAGCCCAUUCAAAUUUCACCCACUAUCCCAACAAUGUCUCUUUUCCUCUUUGGUCCAAAAUGCUAUACAGGAAUAUACAUUGCAUUUAGUUGUCAUGUAUCUUCACACUCCUUUCAUCUGGAACAGUUCCCAGUAUUUUGUGUCCUGGACAGUUUUAAAGAGUACAGGCCUUUCUAUAGGAUGGCAUACAACCUGGGUCCUUCUAAUGGCAGGAAUACCACAAAAUGAUCCUUUGCUUCUCCCAGUGAGUCUCAUCAGGAGGCAUGAAAUGUAGACUCCUCCCAACACUGGCGAUGUUAACUUUGAUCACCUGAUCAUGUUGGUUUCCUCAGUUCACUGUUUUCCCCUUUGUAAUUGAUUAGUAUUCCAAAAUCAUGCCAAUAUUCUCCUCUUCAUCAAACCUUCACCAACCAACCUUAGCAUCCAUUGAAGAUUCCUGCCUGAAUCAUCCAUCUCUAUAGCAGGAUGACAAAUGGUAAUUUUCUAUUUCCAUCAUUUCUUAUCCAUUAUUGGAUUGGCAUUCUAGAAACAGCUUUCCUUUCUAUUUAUUUAUAUCAAUGUGAACUUGUGUAUUCCUAUUUUAUUCAAUGGAUUGUAAUCCAUUAUUACCAUUGUUUAUUUUGAUGCUCGAAUAGUCUAAUUUGGCCAGUGGGAGUCCCUUCUGAUGCGGGCUUGGUGAGUCAAGGAGUCAAAAGAAAGAUUUCUUGGACUCUCAAGGUCUGGCAGUAGUGCUCUUUUAUUCAGAGAAUAGUAUGGAAUAGCAUGAGGACAGGACCCAUGGGCAGUAAAGAGCUGCAGGCAUGGGGACAGGACCCAUGGGCGGUGAAGAGCUGCUGCAAUGUGUUGAGCGUUAGGGCUACAUUUAUAAGGCAUGGGUACGUUGACUUAUUUUUACUGGAAAAAGAAAAGAUGAUGUAAAAAGUCAUUAAAUGGUUUGAGUGCAGAUGGGGUCUGGUUAUUGUGUGGUCGUAUAACUUUAGAUAUGAAUCUGGUCAUAUAGAUCGGCAUGUAGGUGAGGAUGCCCUGGGCUUCUCUCCCUGGGGCAGCCCUAAUCCACACCAUAAAAUCCAUCGGGUCAUAUAGAUCAGCAUGUAGGCCAGGAUACUUUGGGCUUCUCUACCUAGGGCAGCCUCGAUCCACAUCACCUUCAAGCUGGGUCUUCACAUUGCAACAUUUUAAAGUACGUAUAUUGCUAAGAUUCAUCCAUGUUGUGAGUAGUUGGAGUGCAUUCAUUUUGACUGCUUUGUAAUAUGCUGUUUUGUGACUAUGUAUCAGUUUAUUCAUCCACUCUUCCUUGGAUGGGCACUUGGGUUGUUUCCAGGUUUUUGCUAUUGUAUUUUGCUAUUCCAACUCUAAAGUAAUGUUGAAUUUCAAAUGUAUUAAAAUUUUGCAUUAACAUCAUAUACUUCGUCUGUUUAUGCUAUAAACAUUGAGUACUAGAAGCAUCACUGUUUUGCCCUCUCACCAACAGUGUGUGAAAGUCAAUAAAAUACUGUCUUAUCUGCAUCUUUGACGGAGAAAGAUUUAAAUGAUCUAUUUUCAAAACCG
rnacentral:lncRNA from 1 species